GGAGUGACGCUGAGGCGGCGAGGGGGCUGGUGGCUGGCCGCUGCUGCCCUUCGGUAGCUGGUCCCUUAACUCAGUGCAGGACAGUGGGUCAUUGUGUAUGUACAGAAGUGAUGUGGAUUCCUCCCAGACUCAUUAGUGACCAGGGCUGCUGGGCCUGUUUGGGUUUCCUAGACUAGAGAAGAAGACAGGAACCAGGAUGGGAAGACGGACAUGUUACAUUUUAAGCUGGAGCUUCCCCUGCAGUCCACGGAGCACGUUCUCGGUGUGCAGCUCAUCCUGACUUUCUCCUAUCGAUUACACAGGAUGGCGACCCUCGUGAUGCAGAGCAUGGCGUUUCUCCAGUCCUCCUUUCCUGUCCCGGGAUCCCAGUUAUACGUGAACGGAGACCUGAGGCUGCAGCAGAAGCAGCCGCUGAGCUGUGGUGGCCUAGAUGCCCGAUACAAUGUAAGGGCGCUUCUCAUUGUCCA
rnacentral:lncRNA from 1 species